AUUGAACGCUGGCGGCAGGCCUAACACAUGCAAGUCGAACGAGUGGCGGACGGGUGAGUAAUGUCUGGGAAACUGCCCGAUGGAGGGGGGUAAAUACUGGAAACAGUACCUAAUACCGCAUACCAUCAGCUGUGCCCAGAUGGGGUUAGCUCGUUGGUGGGGUAACGGCUCACCAAGGCGACGAUCCCUCGCUGGUCUGAGAGGAUGACCAGGCACAAUGGAACUGAGACACGGUCCAGAACCCUAAGGGGGGGAGGAGUGGGGAAUAUUGCACAAUGGGGGCAAGCCUGAUGCAGCCAUGCCGCGUGGAGGAAGGAGGCCUUCGGGGUGGAAAGUACUUUCAGGGGGGAGGCGUUACCUGCAGAAGAAGCCCCGGGUAACUCCGGGGCAGCCGCCGCGGGAAUAC
rnacentral:rRNA from 1 species